AGACACCCUUCUGGGGCAAGACUUGCUUCAGUGUGGCUUUGGUGCUCACUGAGUCUGCCCCCUGAGUGUGUCCCU
rfam:Myotis lucifugus cont2.38259, whole genome shotgun sequence.